GACGAACGCUGGCGGCGUGCUUAACACAUGCAAGUCGAGCGGAAAGGCCCUUUCGGGGGUACUCGAGCGGCGAACGGGUGAGUAACACGUGAGUAAUCUGCCCUGCGCUCUGGGAUAGCCACCGGAAACGGUGAUUAAUACCGGAUAUGAUCGCUCCACGCAUGUGGUGGUGAUGGAAAGUUUUUUCGGCGUAGGAUGUGCUCGCGGCCUAUCAGCUUGUUGGUGAGGUAAUGGCUCACCAAGGCUUUGACGGGUAGCCGGCCUGAGAGGGUGACCGGCCACACUGGGACUGAGACACGGCCCAGACUCCUACGGGAGGCAGCAGUGGGGAAUAUUGGACAAUGGGCGGAAGCCUGAUCCAGCAACGCCGCGUGAGGGAUGACGGCCUUCGGGUUGUAAACCUCUUUCAGUACUGACGAAGCCUUUGGGUGACGGUAGGUACAGAAGAAGCACCGGCCAACUACGUGCCAGCAGCCGCUGUAACAC
rnacentral:rRNA from 1 species